rnacentral:rRNA from 1 species
AGCGAACGCUGGCGGCAGGCCUAACACAUGCAAGUCGAACGAACCUUUCGGGGUUAGUGGCGGACGGGUGAGUAACACGUGGGAACGUGCGUUUAGGUUCGGAAUAACUCAGGGAAACUUGUGCUAAUACCGAAUGUGCCCUUCGGGGGAAAGAUUUAUCGCCUUUAGAGCGGCCCGCGUCUGAUUAGCUAGUUGGUUGAGGUAAUGGCUCACCAAGGCGACGAUCAGUAGCUGGUCUGAGAGGAUGAUCAGCCACAUUGGGACUGAGACACGGCCCAAACUCCUACGGGAGGCAGCAGUGGGGAAUCUUGCGCAAUGGGCGAAAGCCUGACGCAGCCAUGCCGCGUGAAUGAUGAAGGUCUUAGGAUUGUAAAAUUCUUUCACCGGGGACGAUAAUGACGGUACCCGGAGAAGAAGCCCCGGCUAACUUCGUG